AAAGUCUUAUGGGCCUAACUACUCCAUGAAAUAUUGUGUUCAUAUCAUACAACUCCCCACUUUAUCACUAAGGAAACUCCAUUCACCAUGGUUUAUGGGGAUGACAUGAUGUUUCUCAUAGAAAUCGGUACGCCCUCAUGGAGACACCCCUAAUUCAACCAGAAGAUGAACAAAGCAGGUCUAGAAUGUUUUGUAGACCUGGUUGAUGAGUUGAGAGAAGUCAC
rnacentral:lncRNA from 1 species